AUGUUUUAGAGCCAUCUCGAGGCUUCUCGAGGCUUGUAGAUUUAACAAUGGUAUAACCAAGAUCUAGCUUUGUGAUAACUGUACUGUAUACAUUACAGUACAAUUCUGAUAACAGCACCACCAAGGAGGCUGAUUGGCUGAUUAAAGUACCAUCAAGGAGGCUGAUUGGCUGAUUACAGUACCACCAAGGAGGCUGAUUGGCUGAUUACAGUACCACCAAGGAGGCUGAUUGGCUGAUUACAGUACCACCAAGGAGGCUGAUUGGCUGAUUACAGUACCACCAAGGAGGCUGAUUGGCUGAUUAAAGUACCAUCAAGGAGGCUGAUUGGCUGAUUACAGUACCACCAAGGAGGCUGAUUGGCUGAUUACAGUACCACCAAGGAGGCUGAUUGGCUGAUUACAGUACCACCAAGGCGGCUGAUUGGCUAUCUGUGCUGAGCUCACACCUUGUAAAUCUGCCCACCUGACCUGACUCUACAUAAUGGGAAGUUUAGAUUUCUUCUGCUUUCUUUUUGGUUUCAAUUUUAAUAAAAAAAUAAAAAAGGUAAAUAAUA